rnacentral:rRNA from 1 species
AGAGUUUGAUCAUGGCUCAGGAUGAACGCUAGCUACAGGCUUAACACAUGCAAGUCGAGGGGCAGCAUGUUGGUUGCUUGCAACCAAUGAUGGCGGCCGGCGCACGGGUGAGUAACGCGUAUCCAACCUUCCCCUUAGUAGGGCAUAGCCCGUAGAAAUGCGGAUUAAUACCCUAUGUUGUAUAUUGAGGACAUCUGAUUUAUACCAAAGGUUCACCGCUAAGGGAUGGGGAUGCGUCUGAUUAGGUUGUUGGCGGGGUAACGGCCCACCAAGCCUACGAUCAGUAGGGGUUCUGAGAGGAAGGUCCCCCACAUUGGAACUGAGCCAGGAUCAAACUC